rnacentral:lncRNA from 1 species
AAAAAUAAAGGAACCCUAGUUCUUCCUAAUGCAAUUUUAAAAUAAGUUUUAUGCAAUAGGCUACACAAAAAGCAUUUGAAAACUUAACUAAAGAUAAUUUCGGACAUUAUAAAAAUUUGCAACACCAAGUCGGUAACUCCAAAUAAUAUUCGAAACGUUAUGCACUUUUAUUUGACACGGGAAAAGUCAUAUUAUCUUCA